ACUAUCCAGCGAAACCACAGC
rnacentral:snRNA from 1 species